AACACUGUUAACCUGCGGUACCUGCGGAAGGAUCAUUACACAAUACAAUAUGAAGGCUGUCCGCAGCUGGAGUAUUUUAUUACCCUUGUCUUUUGCGCACUUGUUGUUUCCUGGGCGGGUUCGCUCGCCACCAGGACCACCAAAUAAACCUUUUUUAUGCAGUUGCAAUCAGCGUCAGUACAAACAAUGUAAAUCAUUUACAACUUUCAACAACGGAUCU
rnacentral:misc_RNA from 1 species